rnacentral:misc_RNA from 1 species
GGAAGUAAAAGUUGUAACAAGGUCUCCGUAGGUGAACCUGCGGAGGGAUCAUUACAGAGUUCAUGCCCUACCGGGUAGAUCUCCCACCCUAUGUUAUUAUUACUUUGUUGCUUUGGCGGGCCGUUAGGCUCCGGCCCGACUGCCGGCCCCGGCUGGUAAGCGCCCGCCAGAGGACCCAAAACCCUGAAUAUUAGUGUCGUCUGAGUACUAUAUAAUAGUUAAAACUUUCAACAACGGAUCUCUUGGUUCUG